GCGGCGUUGAACGCCAAACCUUCAGGACAAUCGAAUGUGAAACCACGCCCGGCAGCGCAGUUCAUGAAUUGCCCGCAGUGCGUGGCGUCGCCCAAACGGAAGUAGCCAUAUUGAUGCGGGCAUUCUUCGGUUGGCUGAGCAGUACGUCCGGCACAAUCAACAUCGAUGGGAUAUUGACAUGGAUAUCCACGUACUUCUGGAUUGAAGAGCAGACCAUCUGGACAUAGUUUUUCUUCACCGACACCAUCUUUACAUUCAAUAUAACUACAAAAACAUGAAAUUAAACACAAAAACAACAAAUUUAUCAAAACUAUAAAUUACCCAUCACAAGUCGAUGUUGGAAAAGUUCCAUUACGUUCCGGACAACUCACACCACCACCGCCAAGGGGCGCUGCAGGCGCAUUAUUGUAAUUUGUAUUAUAGUUCUGUUGAUUACCGCCGAAUCUUUGACAGUGCGCUGCAACCAAACAAGCAAAUUAUAAACUAUAAACGUGACGUAAAAGCAAAUUAUGUAAAUUAGCGCAACAUCCUUCAUUUGUCUUUUUUGUGUGUGACCUUUACUAAACCAUUAUUAUACACAUUGUACAAAAUGUUUAUUUAGAUGUAAUUGGAUGAUUAAAUCAUCAAAAUACUAGUUUAUACAAUUUGUAAAAUGGAUGUUAAUAUUGUUAUAAAUGUCAAACUUUCACAUACUGUGAAUCUUGUGCAUCUUCAUCUACCAGUCUUUGUGUUGUACAACAUGGAUCGAUUUGAAAUGUUACUCCUUGACAUUUUUAAACCUGUAUAGCUUCAACUAGUUUUAAGCAUAGAAAUACAUUUAUAAAACCUUCUCCAUUAAAAUUUUAAGUAAUUUUAAACUAAAAUUAAUCGCCAAUUGUAAUUUUUACUUUGUUUGAUAAAUUAAAUUUGAUAUUGCACAAUAUAAUUCAGUUUACGAUCGA